UACGAAGGGGGCUAGCGUUGUUCGGAUUUACUGGGCGUAAAGCGCACGUAGGCGGAUCGUUAAGUCGGGGGUGAAAUCCCAGAGCUCAACUCUGGAACUGCCUUUGAUACUGUCGAUCUGGAGUAUGGAAGAGGUGAGUGGAAUUCCGAGUGUAGAGGUGAAAUUCGUAGAUAUUCGGAGGAACACCAGUGGCGAAGGCGGCUCACUGGUCCAUUACUGACGCUGAGGUGCGAAAGCGUGGGGAGCAAACAGG
rnacentral:rRNA from 1 species